rnacentral:rRNA from 1 species
GAGUUUGAUCGUGGCUCAGAUUGAACGCUGGCGGCAUGCCUUACACAUGCAAGUCGAACGGUAACAGGUCUUCGGAUGCUGACGAGUGGCGAACGGGUGAGUAAUACAUCGGAACGUGCCCGAUCGUGGGGGGAUAACGGAGCGAAAGCUUUGCUAAUACCGCAUACGAUCUACGGAUGAAAGCAGGGACCGCAAGGCCUUGCGCGGACGGAGCGGCCGAUGGCAGAUUAGGUAGUUGGUGGGGAUAAAAGCUUACCAAGCCGACGAUCUGUAGCUGGUCUGAGAGGACGACCAGCCACACUGGGACUGAGACACGGCCCAGACUCCUACGGGAGGCAGCAGUGGGGAAUUUUGGACAAUGGGCGAAAGCCUGAUCCAGCCAUGCCGCGUGCAGGA